GCUGGCCUGGCAGGGAGCCCGGCCUCGCAGAGAGGACUCGGGGCCGGCCUUCGUGAACAAUGGGCAGGCGGCUGCGAAGGCCGCCCCUCAGACAGCUGGCUUUCAGCCGGGCUUUGCCGGGUCUGCUAACUGGAAAGUGAGGCAUGCAGAGGCGAGCUGGAGACCCGGGGCAGCGGCGGAGAGGAGCGGCCCGGGGCGGCAGAGGCGAGCCCGCUGGCAGCACAGUCCCUGACCUGCGCCGCUCCGGCCAAGCCUCGAGCACUGACAGCUACACGAUCUCUGCUGGCGAGUUGGAGCAAAGAGGGAUCACCGAGCUUGGGGACGAACUGGGAAGAGGGGUGGAAUCCAGGUUACCUCGGUGGCCCGGCUCGGCAGCUCUUAACUUUGGAGGGGUCCGGAGGUUCAUUUCCGAAAAGGGGAGAAAGACUACACCGACCAUGGGGAAAGCCGCUGCGCCAUGCCUACUCGCCACUGGAGUCCGGUACCCUCGCCCCGAAACAUCUGCACUAAUCUAGGAAACCGAGGUAAGAAGACUGGAUCAGAACCCACGAGGCACAUCUUUACUGGCAAUGCAAGCACAGAAAACUGCUAAUCUGAUGUGAACUUGGAACUAUGAUUGGCGCUACACAUUCAUGAACCUGUGUUUCUGCAAAUGUAUUACAGAACCGUUAGAGAAAGAAUUGACAAUUUCUGCACUUGGAAUCUUGAGUCAGAUUGUGUUCCCUGGAUAACUUCAUUGUAAAAGUAUAACUGUGGGUAGAAACAAUAGCAUAAAUCCCUCUCUUCGGAAGACUCCUCUACCACCCCUACACACAGCACCCAAGCCUCCCCUUAUAUAAUUAGUCCUCAUUUUCCCCCUUGUUAUCCCUGCUAAUCAUUAUGAUAGACACAGGCCCAAUCUGCUGUAAAUUCCUCAAGUGCAUUUUUGUGUUUUUUUUUCAUCUUGACCUUAAUUUGGGCCUGCUUUACUUAGAAAACACAUCAGAGAACAGAUGGAAGACCAGAGUGGUCUUCUCUAGAUAUUUAUUACCUAUAGACCCUUCCUAUAGAUAUUUGUUAUCAACCAGAAUUGAUUAGUGUACCCUAAAAAACCUUAAAGUUUUCUUAUGUAAUGUUUGAAAUGAGUGUUCAUCUUGAACAAGCUUUGUGCUCUAGCUAAAGGUGAAGAUUAAAAUAUAAUUAUGAUGUUGAACACAUGCUAGGAACUAUCUCAUUUAGUAUUCAUAAAACACCACAAAGCUACUUUUGUUAUCCCCAAGUCGCAUAGGAAGCUGAAUCUUAUACAAGUUGCUAAGAAGUAUUGGGAUGUGCACUCAUAACUUCCUGUGCAAUUCCAGCUCUGGAAUUUUAAAUACUAUGCUAAUCUGACUUAAAUGAAUUCCUGUAACAAUCUAUGUUUUACCUAAUCUAAGGCCCAUAUUUUCACAGAUCUAAGAUUAAAAUGCAUUUUACCUUGAA